AUAUUGCGUGAGGGAUGGCAGCGGAAAUCCUUUCAUGAAGCGCCGCGACUCGAGCGAUAGCGAACAGGCGCGAGCAAGUGAAAGAUUGCAGCGCACAGCCCGACGGCGC
rnacentral:sRNA from 1 species